rnacentral:rRNA from 1 species
CCUACGGGCGGCUGCAGUAGGGAAUUUUCGGCAAUGGGGGAAACCCUGACCGAGCAACGCCGCGUGAACGACGAAGUACUUCGGUAUGUAAAGUUCUUUUAUUGGGGAAGAAUGGCCUGCGGAAAAGCAGGCGUGACGGUACCCGAUGAAUAAGCCCCGGCUAACUAUGUGCCAGCAGCCGCGGUAAUACAUAGGGGGCAAGCGUUAUCCGGAAUUAUUGGGCGUAAAGGGUGCGUAGGUGGCCAUUUAAGUCUGUGGUGUAAGUGCAGUGCUCAAAGCGGUGAUGCUAAAGAAACUGGGUGGCUUGAGUGUGGUAGAGGCAAGUGGAAUUCCAUGUGUAGCGGUAAAAUGCGUAAAUAUAUGGAGGAACACCAGUGGCGAAGGCGGCUUGCUGGGCAACAACUGACACUGAAGCACGAAAGCGUGGGGAGCAAACAGGAUUAGAUACCCUGGUAGUCCGG